AUUGAACGCUGGCGGAAUGCUUUACACAUGCAAGUCGAACGGCAGCACGGGUGCUUGCACCUGGUGGCGAGUGGCGAACGGGUGAGUAAUGCACCGGAACGUAUCCAAUAAUGGGGGAUAACGCACCGAAAGGUGUGCUAAUACCGCAUACGCCCUCGAGGGGGAAAGGCGGGGGAGUCGUAAGACCUCGCGUUAAUGGAGCGGCCGAUGCCGGAUUAGCUAGUUGGUGAGGUAAAGGCUCACCAAGGCGACGAUCCGUAGCUGGUCUGAGAGGACG
rnacentral:rRNA from 1 species